rnacentral:rRNA from 1 species
UACGAAAGGGGGCUAGCGUUGCUCGGAAUCACUGGGCGUAAAGGGUGCGUAGGCGGGUUUUAAGUCAGGGGUGAAAUCCUGGAGCUCAACUCCAGAACUGCCUUUGAUACUGAAGAUCUCGAGUCCGGGAGAGGUGGAGUGGAACUGCGAGUGUAGAGGUGAAAUUCGUAGAUAUUCGCAAGAACACCAGUGGCGAAAGGCGGCUCACUGGCCCGGUACUGACGCUGAGGCACGAAAGCGUGGGGAGCAAACAGG